UAGGGAAUCUUCGGCAAUGGACGAAACCCUGAUCGAGCAACGCCGCGUGUGUGAUGAAGGUUUUCGGAUCGUAAAACACUGUUGUUAGAGAAGAACAAGGACGUUAGUAACUGAACGUCCCCUGACGGUAUCUAACCAGAAAGCCACGGCUAACUACGUGCCAGCAGCCGCGGUAAUACGUAGGUGGCAAGCGUUGUCCGGAUUUAUUGGGCGUAAAGCGAGCGCAGGCGGUUUCUUAAGUCUGAUGUGAAAGCCCCCGGCUCAACCGGGGAGGGUCAUUGGAAACUGGGAGGCUUGAGUGCAGAAGAGGGGAGUGGAAUUCCAUGUGUAGCGGUGAAAUGCGUAGAUAUAUGGAGGAACACCAGUGGCGAAGGCGGCUCUCUGGUCUGUAACUGACGCUGAGGCUCGAAAGCGUGGGGAGCAAACAGG
rnacentral:rRNA from 1 species